UUAUACGUGUAUAAUUUUAAAGGCGAUUUUUCAAAGACCCCGGGUGCUGUUGAGUCCAUCGCCCCUGGGCCAGAGAAAAUGUUUUCUUCCUUCGAAUCCCGAUUAUUCAUUUUGACCAAUGAGAGAACACAACAUGAGGGUCAGAACAAAACAUUUUCGAAAUAUUCGAAACAAUUUUUGAAAUUGAAAUUUUUCAAUUUUUUUAGAUUUGUGCGCUUUUUGAACAAUUUGCAACACAUUUUAUUUUUCGAGUUUUUCAAAAUUUUGAUUGUUUUUUAAAUUCUCCCCACCCGAUCCAUGCCAGAACCGGUCUCUGCCGUAUCCUGUCUCUGAGAGUCUCAGCCACAGCCGUACUCAUUCUCUGUAUGAUCCGGUCCCUGUAUUAACCGGUCUCAGCAAAGACAGGUAGGGACUGGGUGAAGCAGAGACAGAGACCGAUUUCAGCAUACAGCAGGUGUGACAGACACCGAGUCCGUGAAAUACCGUGACAAGUAACCCGCAGAGACCAGUUCUGGUGCUGAUCGGGUAGAGAAAUUUUCCAAAAAAAAUUUCAAAUAAUUAAAUAUUUCCAAAAAAUUAAAAAAUGCUGGAAUAUCUCUAAAAAGCGCACAAAACAAAAAAUGAAAUAUUUGAAACAUUUUUUGAAGUUGAAAUUUUUCAAAAAAUUUUAGUUUUGUGACCAACUCCGGCGGAAACCGGCAGAGGGCUGAGACCGAGGCUUGCAGUGUGUGCGCGGGGCAGAUUCUGGGUCUAGCAGAGACCGAGUGUGGCAUAACAGACUAGCAGAGAAGUGUUCUGGUGAUGAUCGGGUGGGGAGAAUUUAAAAAAAAAAAAUUCGAAAAACCAAAAAAUGCUGGAAAUUGGCUAAAAUUUUUGAAAAUUUUCAAAUUCAAAAUGUUUGAAUUUUUUUUUUAAGUUGGAAAUUCUCAAAUUUUUAGUUUUGUGCGCCAUUUGGACAGUUUCCAGCAUACUUUCAUUUUUUGGAAAUUUUGAAAAUUCUUUUCAAAAUACUCCCCACCCUAUACACCUACCUGAAACGGUGUCUGCCGGACACAGUCUCUGACACGCCCCGUCUCUGCACGAUCCGGUCUGUGUAUGAUCCGCUGCAAAGACCUAAUCCGGCAGAAAGCGGGUGAGGCAGAGACUGCGUCGGGCAGGGGGCGGGUGAUACAGACCGAGACUUGCAGUCUGUGAGCGGCAGUCUGGGUCUAGCAGAGACCGGGUGUGGCAGGACAGACCUGCAGAAACGUGUUCUGGUGGUGAUCGGGUAGAGAGAAUUUUGGGGAAAAAAAUCAAAUUUUUAAAAUUUUUCGAAAAAUUAAAAAAUGCUGGAAAUUGUCUAGUAAGCGCACAAAACCAAAAGUUUUCGAAAAAAUUUUGAAGUUGAAUAUUCUCAAAUAAUUUUAGUUUUGUACGCUUUUUGACAAAUUUCCAGCAUGUUUUGAUUUCUUGAAAAUUUUGAAAAAUUAGAUUUUCUUUUCAAAAUUCUCCCCAUCCGAUACCUACCAGAUCCGGUGUCUUCCACACAUGGUCUCUGCACGAUCCGGUCUGUGUAUGACCCAGUUUUCUGACGAGCCUUCUUUGCAAAGACUUAGUCUUUCAGAUAAAGGUGAGGCGGCAGUGUCUGGGUCUAGCAGACUGGGUGUGGUAGGAGAGAGACCAGCAGAGACGUGUUCUGGUGAUGAUCGUGCGGGGAUAAUUUUGAAAAUAAUUUUAAAAUUUUUCAAAAUUUUCGAAAAAUAAAAGAAUGCUGGUAAUUGUCUGAAAACCGCACAAAAAAUUUCAUAAUUUUUAGAUAUUUUUAUUUGAAAAUUCUCAAUUUUUUUCAGUUUUGUGAGCUUUUUGGACACUCUUCAGCUUUUCAUUUUUUUGAAGAUUUCAAAAAAUUUGAAUUCUUUUUUCAAAAUUCUCUGCACCCGAUACAUACCACAACCAGUGUCUGCCGGACACGGUCUCUAACAGUCCCGGUCACUCCCGGACUCGGUCUCUACAGGAUCCGGUCUGUGUAUGUCGUGCUGGAUCAGCUAGUAAUUUAAAACCAGAUUUAAAGACCAUGUCCAUGAUAUUAGAUUCAAUGUAACAAAUUAAAAAUACGCUCAACACAUCCUCGACCACAGGCACGAAUAUGGCCCCAUAGAAGAUAUCAUAGAUGUAUUAAAAAUAGCCUCAAAAGGCAAAAUGCUUGACAUUCUAGAAAAAUUCCACAUCUAUAAAAUUAGGAAAAAGCAAAACAUCGUAAAUUAGCAGAACACCAACAACUUUAAUGUGUUAUUUGAUCUGGCAAUAAUUAGUAACAAAGUAAAAGUUCUUUUGCAAUAGAUGGCCACACUGGUUGGUCAAAAUGAUUAGAAACCCUGCACACUUUCAAAAAACUGACAGCAAUGCCCAUGCAACUUUGAAGUUCACAGACACAAACAAUGGAACCACAGCUCACCAUAGACCAACAAUGGAAAUCAGAAAAGCCGGCUUAUUAUCAGGAGAUGCGUCUUUAAAUAUUGAAACCUGUUUUUUCUGAGUGGCUGAAACAGUGAAAUAAAAACCUUCAAACAUCUUCCAGAUAAUGAAGAUUCCAUAAAUGCUGAUGACAAUAUGAGUGCCUACAGAAAGAAGACAUUGAUGAAUAAACCGAACAAACAGUGCCCACAAAACUGUUAGUAACUAAUUCACAAGCCCAGGAUAUUAUGCAAACAUUAACUAACCUUUCUGAAAACUGAAGCAGUGGACAAUAGUACAUUUAAUACCAUAAGUGUAAUAAAAGGAAAUCUUUGUGACAUGAAAAUAAAAUCACCGAAACAAGUUUCGAUCCUAAAUUAUGUAUCAAAUAAAAAAGGUAAUAAUUAGCAUCUGUACAUAUGUGUACGAAAAUACAGACCGAAAGCUGUAGCAUGUAAAGAUAGUCAAGGAAAUCUAUUGACAGAAACUGUUAAUAGAUGGAAAGAGUAUUUUAGUGGUAUCCUGACCGGAAAUAUAAUUGAGACAGAGCAGCCAACAUAUUAUACUGUGGAUAAUUACAUUGAAGAUCCUACGUUUGAAGAAGUGCAAAAAGUAAUCAAAUGUCUGAAAAAUGGUAAAGCACCCGGAAGUGAUGGGAUUACUGCUGAACUACUAAAAAAAGGGGGAGUCAAGUUAUGGGA